rnacentral:rRNA from 1 species
UGAACGCUGGCGGCAUGCCUUACACAUGCAAGUCGAACGGCAGCACGGAGCUUGCUCUGGUGGCGAGUGGCGAACGGGUGAGUAACAUAUCGGAACGUACCCUGGAGUGGGGGAUAACGCAGCGAAAGUUGCGCUAAUACCGCAUACGAUCUACGGAUGAAAGUGGGGGACUCGCAAGAGCCUCAUGCUCGUGGAGCGGCCGAUAUCUGAUUAGCUAGUUGGUAGGGUAAAAGCCUACCAAGGCCACGAUCAGUAGCUGGUCUGAGAGGACGACCAGCCACACUGGGACUGAGACACGGCCCAGACUCCUACGGGAGGCAGCAGUGGGGAAUUUUGGACAAUGGGGGCAACCCUGAUCCAGCAAUGCCGCGUGAGUGAAGAAGGCCUUCGGGUUGUAAAGCUCUUUUGUCAGGGAAGAAACGGUGAAAGCUAAUAUCUUUUGCUAAUGACGGUACCUGAAGAAUAAGCACCGGCUAACUACGUGCCAGCAGCCGCGGUAAUACAAGGGCGAAUUCCACAGUG